rnacentral:lncRNA from 1 species
AGAAAGCAAUGAAUAAACCUGACAAAUACGACAGCUUGUGUUCCAAGAGAGUGAGCUUUCAUUCUCGAUGCAGCCUCCUGUUGAUCUCUAAUAACAUCAGUCAUGGAUGAUGUGUUAGACAGAGAUCCUGUCUGUGGACUGAGAUCCCACCAUUUUAUAAGAUCCUUCCUAAAGGUCCUGUGUUAUGUGGAAGCAUGCAGCAAUCUGGUCUGGAUGAAGAAAAUACCUCAGAAAACCCAAGAGGAAUUUUUGCUUAGACAGUUUCUCUCAUGA